UAACGACUCUCGGCAACGGAUAUCUCGGCUCUCGCAUCGAUGAAGAACGUAGCGAAAUGCGAUACUUGGUGUGAAUUGCAGAAUCCCGUGAACCAUCGAGUCUUUGAACGCAAGUUGCGCCCUAGGCCAUCCGGCCGAGGGCACGCCUGCCUGGGCGUCACGUAUCGUGUCACCCCCCACUCUGUCGCUCCUUAUGGCGACGGAGCAUGGGAUGGAGAUUGGCCCCCCGUGCCGCCCCAUUGUUUUGUGGUCGAGGUGCGGUCGGCCCAAAGAAAGACAAGUCCCCUUGUGCGGCGAUCGUCGUGACGGGUGGUGGUCGAAAGCCACUCUGCCAUCAGUUCGGACGUCGUGUGCGAUUCUUGCCCUCAUUGGGGCCAUUGUGUUGACCCUGAUCAUUUGUCGUCCAAGGACGCCAUUUUGACCGCGACCCCAGGUCAGGCGGGGCUACCCGCUGAGUUUAAGCAUAUCAAUAAGCGGAGGAGAAGAAACUUACGAGGAUUCCCCUAGUAACGGCGAGCGAACCGGG
rnacentral:rRNA from 1 species